UCCUGGCUCAGAUUGAACGCUGGCGGCAGGCUUAACACAUGCAAGUCGAACGGUAACAGGAGAAAGCUUGCUUUCUUGCUGACGAGUGGCGGACGGGUGAGUAAUGCUUGGGAAUCUGGCUUAUGGAGGGGGAUAACGACGGGAAACUGUCGCUAAUACCGCGUAGAGUCGAGAGACGAAAGUGCGGGACCGCAAGGCCGCAUGCCAUAGGAUGAGCCCAAGUGGGAUUAGGUAGUUGGUGGGGUAAUGG
rnacentral:rRNA from 1 species